UAGGGAAUCUUCCGCAAUGGGCGAAAGCCUGACGGAGCAACGCCGCGCGAGUGAUGAAGGUCUUCGGAUCGUAAAACUCUGUUAUUAGGGAAGAACAAAUGUGUAAGUAACUAUGCACGUCCUGACGGUACCUAAUCAGAAAGCCACGGCUAACUACGUGCCAGCAGCCGCGGUAAUACGUAGGUGGCAAGCGUUAUCCGGAAUUAUUUGGCGUAAAGCGCGCGUAGGCGGUUUUUUAAGUCUGAUGUGAAAGCCCACGGCUCAACCGUGGGGGGUCAUUGGAAUCUGGAGAACGUGAGUGCAGAAGAGGAAAGUGGAAUUCCAUGUGUAGCGGUGAAAUGCGCAGAGAUAUGGGGGAACACCAGUGGCGAGGGCGACUUUCUGGUCUGUAACUGACGCUGAUGUGCGAAAGCGUGGGGAUCAAACAGG
rnacentral:rRNA from 1 species